rnacentral:rRNA from 1 species
ACGUACACUCCUGCGGGAGGCAGCAGUGGGGAAUUUUGGACAAUGGGCGAAAGCCUGAUCCAGCCAUGCCGCGUGCAGGAUGAAGGCCUUCGGGUUGUAAACUGCUUUUGUACGGAACGAAACGGCCUUUUCUAAUAAAGAGGGCUAAUGACGGUACCGUAAGAAUAAGCACCGGCUAACUACGUGCCAGCAGCCGCGGUAAUACGUAGGGUGCAAGCGUUAAUCGGAAUUACUGGGCGUAAAGCGUGCGCAGGCGGUUAUGUAAGACAGUUGUGAAAUCCCCGGGCUCAACCUGGGAACUGCAUCUGUGACUGCAUAGCUAGAGUACGGUAGAGGGGGAUGGAAUUCCGCGUGUAGCAGUGAAAUGCGUAGAUAUGCGGAGGAACACCGAUGGCGAAGGCAAUCCCCUGGACCUGUACUGACGCUCAUGCACGAAAGCGUGGGGAGCAAACAGGAGUAGAUACCCCAGUAGUCCCAUG